UUACACAACUCCAGCGAGCCAGCGGACCCGGCCCGAGUCUCCGCCAGACUCACCCAUCAGAAACAAUUUUCUGUUUGAAAUGGGUGUCAACAAUCUCCUCUCGAAAAAAACAGCGAUCUCCCCAGUUUCCCCUCCCUAGAGGCAACCGCUUUCAGCUCUUGUGGCAGAAAAUAAUUUCAAGGUUCGAUUUACUGCCUGUGGAACAUCCUGUGCGAGGAAUCCUACAGGAUUUUUGUGUCUGGCUUCUUUCGCCCCAAAUGGUAUCUUUGAGAAUCACGCAGAAGUGUGUCCUGCUGCAUCAGAUAAGGAUAAGCUGUGAUACAACAGGAUUAAUUUGUCCAAAGUUGCAGAAAGAGAAAAUGAAAGAAUCAGGCUUCUGACCCCCUCUGCUGUAGCUGCCUUCAACACACAGAAACAAAAGAGCUCGGGGCCAGUGCUGUGGCGCAGCAGAUUAAGCCCCUGGCCUGAAGCGCCGGCAUCCUGUAUGGGCACUGGUUCAAGACACGGCUGCUCCACUUCCCCUCCAGCUCUCUGCCAUGGACUGGAACAUCAGUAGAAGAUGGUGCAAGUCCUUGGGCCCCUGUACUCACGUGGGAGACCCAGAAGAAGCUUCUGGCUCCUGGCUUCGGAUCAGCACAGCUCCAACCAUUGCGGCCAAUUGGGGAAUAAACCAUUGGAUGGAAGACCUCUCUCUCUCUCCCUCCCUCUGCCUCUCCUCUCUCUGCCUCUCCUC